CCGCUGUGCUGAAAGCUCCAGCAAGUGUAAUCUGCUGGGUCAUGUACGGCGGAGGAUGGGUGGAGUCGCCUGGCUCUGCCAUUCGGGUGCUUCCUGGGGGAACAAGGACCGGCACUGGCAGAAGUGAGACCAUUGUGCUGGAAGCUGGCUCAAGCUGGUGAAUGUUAUCAGGUGACCUGUGAAAAGGAUGUCCAUAGGCUCAAAGGUAAAAUUUCAUCUUCCAGACACUAAAUGAGUGAUCUAGAGAGAAGGCUGAACUGAGUAAAGCUAAGCUAAAGAUCUGAAAGUUAGCCCGAAAGCCACG
rnacentral:lncRNA from 10 species